rnacentral:tRNA from 1 species
GGUUGUUUAGUUUAAAUAAAACUUGUGUUUUGAAAGCAUAUAAUAGAUGAUUCAUCUAAUAACCG